CAAAAGGCUUUUUUUCUCAGUGAAGGGGGAAAAAAGCCACAAACACUGGGAUGUAAGUCACAU
rfam:Fukomys damarensis contig124625, whole genome shotgun sequence.